rnacentral:rRNA from 1 species
AGUGAACGCUGGCGGUAGGCCUAACACAUGCAAGUCGAACGGCAGCACAGUAAGAGCUUGCUCUUACGGGUGGCGAGUGGCGGACGGGUGAGGAAUACAUCGGAAUCUACUUUUUCGUGGGGGAUAACGUAGGGAAACUUACGCUAAUACCGCAUACGACCUACGUGUGAAAGCAGGGGAUCUUCGGACCUUGCUCGAUUGAAUGAGCCGAUGUCGGAUUAGCUAGUUGGCGGGGUAAUGGCCCACCAAGGCGACGAUCCGUAGCUGGUCUGAGAGGAUGAUCAGCCACACUGGAACUGAGACACGGUCCAGACUCCUACGGGAGGCAGCAGUGGGGAAUAUUGGACAAUGGGCGCAAGCCUGAUCCAGCCAUACCGCGUGGGUGAAGAAGGCCUUCGGGUUGUAAAGCCCUUUUGUUGGGAAAGAAAAGCAGCAGGUUAAUACCCCGCUGUUCUGACGGUACCCAAAGAAUAAGCACCGGCUAACUUCGUG